rnacentral:rRNA from 1 species
UACGUAGGGGGCUAGCGUUGUCCGGAAUCAUUGGGCGUAAAGCGCGUGUAGGCGGUUCGGUAAGUCCGCUGUGAAAGUCGGGGGCUCAACCCUCGGAUGCCGGUGGAUACUGUCGGGCUUGAGUAUGGAAGAGGCGAGUGGAAUUCCUGGUGUAGCGGUGAAAUGCGCAGAUAUCAGGAGGAACACCAAUUGCGAAGGCAGCUCGCUGGGACGUUACUGACGCUGAGACGCGAAAGCGUGGGGAGCAAACAGG